GAUGAGAGAUAAUUUUAAUCACUUGGAGCAGGGAUCCAUGAUUAUUGUGUAGUAUGUGGCACGAUUCCAUGCCUUGUCAAGAUAUUCUAAUACCAGUAUUACUUCCGAGUCUUAAAAGAUUUGAAAGUUUGUAAAGGAGUUGGAUGUUUCUUUUCAGCUUGCUACGACUUUAAUGGUAGUUUAUGAGGAAUUGUUUCAGAGUAUUAUGGAUCAUGCAAUGAUGACUGAGGCUAUUAUUCGAGCAU
rnacentral:lncRNA from 1 species